GACGAACGCUGGCGGCGUGCUUAACACAUGCAAGUCGAACGGUGACCCUCGGAGCUUGCUUCGGGGUGAACAGUGGCGAACGGGUGAGUAACACGUGAGUAACCUGCCCCUGACUCUGGAAUAAGCGCUGGAAACGGCGUCUAAUACCGGAUACGACACGCCUCCGCAUGGGGAGCGUGUGGAAAGUUUUUCGGUCUGGGAUGGACUCGCGGCCUAUCAGCUUGUUGGUGAGGUAAUGGCUCACCAAGGCGAUGACGGGUAGCCGGCCUGAGAGGGCGACCGGCCACACUGGGACUGAGUCACGGCCCAGACUCCUACGGGAGGCAGCAGUGGGGAAUAUUGCACAAUGGGCGAAAGCCUGAUGCAGCGACGCCGCGUGAGGGAUGACGGCCUUCGGGUUGUAAACCUCUUUCAGCAGGGAAGAAGCGAAAGUGACGGUACCUGCAGAAGAAGCACCGGCUAACUACGUGCCAGCAGCCGCGGUAACAC
rnacentral:rRNA from 1 species